rnacentral:rRNA from 1 species
AUUGAACGCUGGCGGCAGGCCUAACAAAUGCAAGUCGAACGAGUGGCGGACGGGUGAGUAAUGUCUGGGAAACUGCCCGAUGGAGGGGGAUAACUACUGGAAACGGUAGCUAAUACCGCAUACCAUCGGAUGUGCCCAGAUGGGAUUAGCUAGUAGGUGGGGUAACGGCUCACCUAGGCGACGAUCCCUAGCUGUACUGAGAGGAUGACCAGCCACACUGGAACUGAGACACGGUCCAGACUCCUACGGGAGGCAGCAGGGGGGAAUAUUGCACAGUAGGCGCAAGCCUGGUACAGCCAUGCCGCGUGUAUGGAAAAAGCCUUCGGGUUGUAAAGUACUUUCAGCGGGGAGGCGUUAGCCGCAGAAGAAGCACCGGCUAACUCCGUGCCAGCAGCCGCGGUAAUUC